rnacentral:rRNA from 1 species
AACCUGCCUCAUACUCGGGGAUAGCCUUUCGAAAGAAAGAUUAAUAUCCGAUAGCAUAUAUUUCCCGCAUGGGUUUUAUAUUAAAGAAAUUCGGUAUGAGAUGGGGAUGCGUUCCAUUAGUUUGUUGGCGGGGUAACGGCCCACCAAGACUACGAUGGAUAGGGGUUCUGAGAGGAAGGUCCCCCACAUUGGAACUGAGACACGGUCCAAACUCCUACGGGAGGCAGCAGUGAGGAAUAUUGGUCAAUGGACGCGAGUCUGAACCAGCCAAGUAGCGUGAAGGAUGACUGCCCUAUGGGAUGUAAACUUCUUUUAUAUGGGAAUAAAGUGGUCCACGUGUGGAUUUUUGUAUGUACCAUAUGAAUAAGGAUCGGCUAACUCCGUGCCAGCAGCCGCGAUAAUACGGAGGAUCCGAGCGUUAUCCGGAUUUAUUGGGUUUAAAGGGAGCGUAGGCGGAUUGUUAAGUCAGUUGUGAAAGUUUGCGGCUCAACCGUAAAAUUGCAGUUGAUACUGGAUAUCUUGAGUGCAGUUGAGGCAGGCGGAAUUCGUGGUGUAGCGGUGAAAUGCUUAGAUAUCACGAAGAACUCCGAUUGCGAAGGCAGCCUGCUAAGCUGCAACUGACAU